rnacentral:rRNA from 1 species
UACGUAGGGGGCAAGCGUUGGUCCGGAUUUAUUGGGCGUAAAGCGCGUGUAGGUGGCCAAGUAGGUCCGCUGUGAAAACAUUGAGGCUCAACCUCAAGCUGUCGGUGGAAACCCCUUGGCUAGAGUCCGGAAGAGGAGAGUGGAAUUCCUGGUGUAGCGGUGAAAUGCGCAGAUAUCAGGAAGAACACCAAUGGCGAAGGCAGCUCUCUGGGACGGUACUGACACUGAGACGCGAAAGCGUGGGGAGCGAACAGG